rnacentral:lncRNA from 1 species
GAUUGUCUGUUCUUGUGGGUGGAUGCUUAAGAUGUUAUUAGCGAGCUGUUCUUGGUUGAGUUAAUUCUUAAAGAGUGGAUCAUCGGGGAAGCCAAUAUUACCGGGUUCCAGCUCUCGUUAUAACUGUAACUCUUUCUUUUGCGGCAAGCGAUUUGCGGAUUGGUAGAAGCCUCUUGAUAGCGUUUAUUAUUUGUUGUGUCUGUCCUUGCUUAAAUUAGAUUGAGUUGAUGUCU